GAGGAUUUAAGUUAAAAAAAAACUAUAAACCUUCAAAGUUUAAAAUACAUUAUUUAAAAUAUUUGUAAACCUUA
rnacentral:tRNA from 1 species